AGAGAGAGACAUGCGCGCAUAUCAAUAAGCGGAGGAAAAGAAACUAACAAGGAUUCCCCUAGUAACGGCGAGUGAAGCGGGAAGAGCUCAAAUUUGAAAUCUUAAAGGGUUUCCCUUUACGAAUUGUAGUCUAAAGAAGUGUUUUCUGUUGAGGUUUUGGUAAAAGUUCUUUGGAAUAGGACAUCAUAGAGGGUGAGAAUCCCGUAUUUGACCUUUACUUUCAACUUUGUGAUACACUUUCAAAGAGUCGGAUUGUUUGGGAAUGCAGUCCAAAAUGGGUGGUAAAUUUCAUCUAAAGCUAAAUAUUGGCGAGAGACCGAUAGCGAACAAGUACCGUGAGGGAAAGAUGAAAAGAACUUUGAAAAGAGAGUUAAACAGUACGUGAAAUUGUCAAAAGGGAAGCGUUUGACACCAGUGUUGUUUUUCUGAAAAUCAAUUAAAGAACUGUUUAUGCUAAGAUUGUUUAGACUUUAUCAGCUAACUGUUUAGUUUUGAGCUUUUCUUUAAUGCACUUUUCAGUUAACAAGUCAACAUCAAUUUCUUUUGCUGUAAAAAAGCUUGAGGAAGGUGGCUUGAGAUUCGUCUUAAGUGUUUAUAGCCUCUUGCCUAUGCAGUCGGAGAGAUUGAGGUCUGCAGCGUAGAUCCUUCGGGGCUAAAUGCAUUUGUGCUAAGUUAUAGCAUUUUAUAGACAACUUGUUGACUAUGAUUUGUCUUGUAGCUUACUCGCUUAUGUUAUUUUACCUACGCUUAGGAUGUUGAGCGCAUGUCUCUCUCU
rnacentral:rRNA from 1 species